AAAGUUGUGGCUCAAUGAUAGAUCAUCCGCCUUGCAUGCAGAAGGUCCCAGGUUCAAUUCAGUGGCAAUGUUU
rnacentral:tRNA from 1 species